rnacentral:rRNA from 1 species
ACACAUGCAAGUCGAACGAAGCUUGACGGAUGAUUUCUUCGGAAUGAAACCUGAUAUGACUUAGUGGCGGACGGGUGAGUAACACGUGAGCAACCUGCCUUUCAGAGGGGGAUAACGGCUGGAAACGGUCGCUAAUACCGCAUGACGUGUUCGGAUGGCAUCAUCUGAACAUCAAAGAUUUAUCGCUGAAAGAUGGGCUCGCGUCUGAUUAGAUAGUUGGUGGGGUAACGGCCUACCAAGUCUACGAUCAGUAGCCGGACUGAGAGGUUGAACGGCCACAUUGGGACUGAGAUACGGCCCAGACUCCUACGGGAGGCAGCAGUGGGGAAUAUUGCACAAUGGGGGAAACCCUGAUGCAGCAACGCCGCGUGAAGGAUGACGGUUUUCGGAUUGUAAACUUCUUUUCUUAGUGACGAAGACAGUGACGGUAGCUAAGGAAUAAGCAUCGGCUAACUACGUGCCAGCAGCCGCGGUAAUACGUAGGAUGCAAGCGUUAUCCGGAUUUACUGGGUGUAAAGGGAGCGCAGGCGGGACUGCAAGUUGGAUGUGAAAUACCGUGGCUUAACCACGGAACUGCAUCCAAAACUGUAGUUCUUGAGUGAAGUAGAGGCAAGCGGAAUUCCGAGUGUAGCGGUGAAAUGCGUAGAUAUUCGGAGGAACACCAGUGGCGAAGGCGGCUUGCUGGGCUUUAACUGACGCUGAGGCUCGAAAGUGUGGGGAGCAAACAGGAUUAGAUACCCUGGUAGUCCACACUGUAAACGAUGAUAGCUAGGUGUGGGGGGUCUGACCCCUUCCGUGCCGGAGUUAACGCAAUAAGCUAUCCACCUGGGGAGUACGACCGCAAGG